GGGGAAAUAGCUCAAUAGGUUAGAGUGCUGGCCUGUCACGCCAGUGGUUGCGGGUUCAAUUCCCGUUUUUCCCG
rnacentral:tRNA from 1 species